rnacentral:rRNA from 1 species
GACGAACCGUGCGAACGUUGUUCGGAUUCACUGGGCUUAAAGGGCGCGUAGGCGGGCAGCACAGUCGGGGGUGAAAUCUUUCAGCUUAACUGGAAAAUAGCCCCCGAUACUAGCUGCCUCGAGGGAGGUAGGGGCACGCGGAACUUCCGGUGGAGCGGUGAAAUGCGUAGAUAUCGGAAGGAACGCCGGUGGCGAAAGCGGCGUGCUGGGCCUUUCCUGACGCUGAGGCGCGAAAGCCAGGGGAGCGAACGGG